rnacentral:rRNA from 1 species
CCUACGGGGUGCAGCAGUGGGGAAUAUUGGGCAAUGGGCGCAAGCCUGACCCAGCAACGCCGCGUGAAGGAAGAAGGCUUUCGGGUUGUAAACUUCUUUUCUGAGGGACGAAGAAAGUGACGGUACCUCAGGAAUAAGCCACGGCUAACUACGUGCCAGCAGCCGCGGUAAUACGUAGGUGGCAAGCGUUAUCCGGAUUUAUUGGGUGUAAAGGGCGUGUAGGCGGGAAAGCAAGUCAGAUGUGAAAACUCAGGGCUCAACCCUGAGCCUGCAUUUGGAAACUGGCGAACUAGAGUGCGGGAGGGGUAAGCGGAAUUCCUAGUGUAGCGGUGAAAUGCGUAGAUAUUAGGAGGAACACCGGUGGCGAAGGCGGCUUACUGGACCGUAACUGACGUUGAGGCUCGAAAGCGUGGGGAGCAAACAGGAUUAGAUACCCCAGUAGUC